rnacentral:lncRNA from 10 species
AUCUCUACAAAAAUACAAAAAUUAGACAGGCAUGAUGGCAGGUGCCUAUAAUCCCAGCUACUCGGGAGGCUGAAGCGGGAGAAUCACUUGAACUCAUGAGGUAGACGUCACAGUGAGCUGAGAUCGUGCCAUUGCACUCCAGCCUGGGUGACAGAGCGAGACUCCAUCUCAAAAAAAAAAUACAUAUAUAUAUAUACACAUGUAUAUAUAUAUAUAUACACGUGUAUAUAUAUAAGUUGGCUUGGAUAGAUUUCAAGAGAUUCCUCUUGAGUAAAUAAGUCAAAAUGUGAAUAGUAUGAUAUAAUUUCUGUAAAACAAGAAUAAGCAUUAUCAAAUAUUUACUAAACACUCAUUUAUCUAUAGGACACU